rnacentral:rRNA from 1 species
GAACCAGUACCGUGAGGGAAAGGCGAAAAGAACCCCUGUGAGGGGAGUGAAAUAGAUCCUGAAUCCGUGUACGUACAAGCAGUGGGAGCGGACAUUGCGUUCCGUGACUGCGUACCUUUUGUAUAAUGGGUCAGCGACUUACUGUCAGUGGCAAGGUUAAGUGUUAACGGAGCCGUAGAGAAAUCGAGUCUUAACUGGGCGUUGAGUCUCUGGCAGUAGACCCGAAACCGGGCGAUCUAUCCAUGUGCAGGUUGAAGGUUGAGUAACA